CUGGUGGGAAGUGAUUGAAUUAUGGGGGCAGAUCUUUCCUGUGCAGUUCUCAUGAUAGUGAAUGAGUCUCAUGAGAUCUGAUGGUUUUAAAAAGAGGAGAUUCCCUGCACAAGCUCUCUUUUUGCCUGCCACCAUCCAUGUAAGAUGUGACUUGCUCCUCCUUGCCUUCUGCCAUGAUUGUGAGGCCUCCCCAGCCACUUGGAACUGAAGCAAACACUGCUAUUGCCACCUUUUUGCAGAGGAAGGUACUGAGGUGAAGCGACUUGCCCAAACCCUACAAAAAGCACUGUGCCAGGUGCUGGAUUUAUAACCACAAAAACAGAGGGGCAGAAUGUCUGCAUUUCCAGUGGGCAAGACAGACAAUGUGCCUAUCUGUGCAUUUCCUUGUAAAAUCCAGCUUUCGCAAGAGCAUGAACAAAUCAGUUUGGCAAGACCUCCCCACCCUCAACAUCUGAUCACGUGUCUCAUCCUCCAUGAUGCCACAGAACUCUGCAGAGCCACCACCAGCAAGAAGGUCCUCACCAGAUGCAGCCCCUUGACCUUAGACUUCUCACCUUCAAGAACUGUGGUCUUCAGGGCUGUCUCCAUGAAGUCAUCACCAGCCUUCCCAGGCCAGGACUCUCCAUGCCAUCCUUAGCAAGGAGAAGAAAACAAAUACCCGGCAUCCAUUUCCAGGUCCUGCAUGAUGUGAUGAUUUCAGCAAGUUAUGAUGAGGUCAUUAGGGUCAGCUGAGUUCAUAUGACUGAUGUCCUUAUAAGAGGAGGGAAAUCUGGACACAAACAUUGACCCACAGGGAGAGGGGAGAACACUUGUGAAGACACCAAGACACACAGACAGAGGGAAGAUGGCCAUGUGCAGAUGGAGGCAGGGACUGGACUUAUGCUGCCACAAGACAAGAAACACCUGGGGCUGCCAGAUGCCGGAAAAGGCAGGGAAGAGUCCUCCUCCAGAGUCUUCAGAGAGAACAUGACUCUGCAAGCACCUUGAUUUCAGACCUCUAGCCUCCAGACCUGUGAGAAUAAAUGUCUAUUGGUGUUAGGCACCCAGUUUGUAAUACUUUGUUACAGCGGCCCUAGGAAACUAAUACACACCAUAACCCAUAUGAGGGCAAGAACCUUAUGUAUUUUUACUCAGCAUUGACUUCCUAACUUCUAUCUCAGAAGAAGUGCCUGGUUAUGUAAUCAUUCCCUGUAACAAUAAUCUUUAAAUAAGGAAGGUGAUUUUCACAAUUACCUAGGGAACUUUUACCAGGUGGGCAAGAGCCCACCAUGAAGUCUACCCCAAGAAGAUUCACCCACAUAUCUAUAAAACAUUUAAUAAAAGAAAGAAAUCUUCCUUCUUAUACCAGAUUUCCGUAGCAAGUAUUACCUGAGUCAUUAGGGCAGCACGCCCUUCUUUCCCUGAAUUAUCUGGGUAAUUGCACAACUGCUUCACUUCGGUUGCAUAGAUAGUUAACUGCGCACAUUUGGUGUGGUAAUUGGGUAGUGGCCAAGGAACACAAAAUACAUGGCUUCAAAGCAGGUGCUUACAAAAAGGACUCCACUUAAACUGAAAUUCAGCCCAAAGAGUUGAUUAGAAACAACUCAAAAGGGUCAGUUAGUGAGUCUGAGCACUGGGGGAAAGGGGCAAAUAAUACUGUCUUUUUCUUUAAACCUAGUCAGAAGAGAAGACAGGAAUAUAUGAAACAGGAGCAAUCACAAGAACGUAACAGAGGACACAGGUGUCAUGUUCAUGGCACAGAACAGAAGCCCCAUAGAGUUCAAAAGACGGGAUGACUGGAGAUAUCCUUGACACAUUGAGCUAAAAAAAAAAACUAAAAACAAGGCCAGGCACAGUGGCUCACACCUGUAAUCCCAGUACUUUGGGAGGCCAAGGUGGGUGGAUCGCCUGCGGUCAGGAGUUCGAGACCAGCCUAGCCAACAUGGCGAAAUCCCAUCUCUACUAAAAUACAAAAAUUAGCUGGGGGUGGUGGCAAGUGCCUGUAAUCCCACCUACUCGGGAGGCUGAGGCAGGAGAAUUGCUUGAACCUGGGAGGUGGAGCUUGCAGUGAGCCGAGAUCACGCCACUACACUUGAGCCUUGAGCCUGGGCGACAGAGCAAGACUCUAUCUCAAAAAUAAAUAAAUAAAUAAAUAAAUAAAUAAACAAAAAAGCA
rnacentral:lncRNA from 10 species